GAUUCUUUUCCAAAUUUUCCUCAUCAGUUAUUAACUAAAUGCCAACUCACUGUGUAUUUGGUAGUCAGAUUAUCUGCUAAUGCCUGCCUAAAGCAGUCAACAUUGAUUAAACAAAAGGGUGGCUAUUAUGUUAUUUUUAAUACAAACGAUUUAGGUCCUGAGGCUGAGACUGAAGUAGAGCUCAAUAUAACAUGGGAUUGAAUUAAAUUAGAAACAUCUGAUGGCAAGGUUUCCUACAUCUUCUAAUUGCCUUCAGAAUUUAAGAGAAGACAGUGGUGUGGUUGUGAAUUUGUUAUCCCCUCUAAAGGUAGAAAGAACAGUUUGUUUUAACUGCAUCUGGGAAGUGGGCCUUAUCCUCAUUACAGUUAGAUAAAUGCUCACAAUCCAUGGCAAUUUUGAAAGGGGAUAAAAUAUAAUAGAAAAGAUCCUAUCAGUAUUAGCCACAAGGUCAUUGCUAAUUUCUUAUUUUGCCCAACGUGGGCUGCAUUUCCGAAGCACUAUUUGCUCACCCAUGCCUGCCCACAUCCAACAUCCACAUGUGCACAUGAUUGCUGUGGUAGAGAACAGGAGACGUGGCUGCACAUAGCCUCUGAAGGCAAAACUGUAAGGUUGCAAGCAAAUUGAAUAUAGUUUUACAGUUAUUAAGAUUGCUUUUCAAUAAUAUUAUUUUCCCACAAUUCCCAAAGUGUUUUAAUGAAGGGUAUUUUGUGAUAACACUUUACUAGUGGCUUAUUUGGAUGCACUUACUAGUUCUGAAGAGCACAGGGAAUGAAGAUUGCAAACUUGCUCUCUAAAGGGAGCAAUCAGUGGGCUCAGGACAUUGCCUGAACUGAAUUGAGUUCUUCAGCCUUAAAAGUGGCCUUUGUGAUCCUACUUCUUCUCCUACUAAUCGUUAACAAUCCCAUUGCUGUUCCUGCCCUGGGUCUGACUUCAUCACAGAAAUGCUUGUGUUGCACUGUGUUUGUCAUUUCAGUGAGGUUCUAAACUGCUCUUGAGAAAUGCUUUAACCAACCUCGAUUGAUUGUUUAUUAUCUCCUGACAGUAAAUGCUUAAUUACAUAGCUGAGAAGAUUGGUUUGUCUUCUUGGCCAGACUUUCUCCUAGAAAUGCAGAAAAUUAAAUUUUUGAUGACUUCACUGGAUUUGCUUUGUACUUUGAUCCAAUGAGUGCAGAGAAAAUAUUAUUCCUUCCACUGUGGUAAAUGUGAGAGCCUGCCUUACAAAAGCAAUAAGCAAAUCAAGAGGAAAAUGUUGGCAUCUUGAAGUUGUGACCUAAUUCUAUCCCUCACUCUGUUUCCCCUCAUCUCCAACACAUCGUAAGUUCAAAAUAGCUGCCCUUAUUCCAAACACUUCUUUCUGCUCAGAUAGGUCACGUAAAGAAUAAAGGCAGUAACUGCACAUAACCCUCUGAAAGACAGAAUUGCCACAGAGCUUACCCAAGCAGCAAUAACUAGGCUCUAGGAUGCUUCACAUCUCUGGAAAAGGCCUUUCUUGUGGAAAAUGCGGCUGUGUUUUACAUCAAAGACAGAAUGACUUUACCCUGUUGAUUUGAAAAAUCAAUUGCAAUUACUGUCAGGAAAUAUAUUCAAGUUCAGUGUGCAACUCGCUGGACUCCAGGCUCUGAGAAUCAUCCUAUCAGGUACGUGGCAGAACUCUGCUUUUGCAGGAGUUCACAUGCAAAUAGGCAGCUGCAUUUUGGGUGAAGACCUGUGUUUUACAAAGGCGCAUCUUUUUUUCUUGGGGUGUGUUCUGAAUAUUGGUUAAGAUAGUUCCAUUGAAGGUCACAAAGCUGUGCCAAUUUAAAACAUCUCUGAGUCCCAUUAACAGAAAUCAGAUGAAAGACAUGAAAGGAGAGCUGUAACAUAUUCUUAGAUAUGUGGUGAAUGUGUCAGAUGGUAAAACAGGAGGGUAAUGAGCCUAGGAACCCCUAGACAGUUAAAUUACUUAACUAUAAAACCUCAGCAAUUAGGAGAUUGUAAUAAAAGGCUGCAGAUCCCUGGCAAAGCUGUCCAAACUGUGAUGAGAAAAGGGCUCCCUCGCACCAAAGGUUCGGCAGUGAGCAAGGUGAUUGCUGUGAACAGAAAGCUUCAGAUGUGCUGUAUCAAUACUGCCUUCUCUCCAUGUUCUGGUUGUUCAGAAUUGGAAAGAGUGAGAAACAACCUGACCAGCCUGGCACUGCUUUUCCUACAGGGAAAAUGAAAACCUCUUGUAGCUUAACAGCUUCUGUGACAAGACUGCUCAGAAUUCAUGUAUCCACAGUUAAGGCACUGGAGGAUGCUUACAAAUGGAUCACCCAAUUCAUUGGUGUUGUGGAUGUAAACACUAACAACUGCACCCUACAGCACCCGCACCCUACAGCAAAGUGGCCAUCUGCAAAACUAACCAGAUGUCCCCUGUAUUUGUUCUGCAGCAAAGUGAAUGUGGCUUUACAGAGGACGGCUGCAAAAUAAAGUAGAUGACUGAAUGGAACAGAAGUGGGCAGCAACACUGAAAGGCGCAGACUGAACUGCUGUCUCAGCCAGGCAGGAAGAAAGCAGGGACAGCCAAGAAAAGCUGGGUGCCAGAUAACAAUCUACAUGCUUGUCUUGUGACUGUCAAGGUUGGAACAGUGAAUAUGGAGCUCUGCCUGUGGAGCCUUUGUCAGACGCUAAGAGGAAAGCAUGCCCAUACUGUUAAGACAUGAGAAAGAGGCCACAAGCAUGAGCAAAUCCUCUGGUUCAUCUUCACAAAUAACAAUGACAGAAGCCAAAGUCUGGAAAGAGGAAUGGUGGUGUAUCUCUGUGUUGGUGAGGAGGUUGUGCCUGGCAAUGAGAAUGUAAGGAGAAAGUCUGCUGGGGAAUAUUGACUGACUCACAAUGUGCAAGCUGAAUUCACCUAUUCGAUACCAGUUUGUUUUGUUGCUCCUUCUGGAUACUGUGCCACAGCUGGCUUGCUAGAACUACACAGAGGGCUGAUUUUGGAGUGUGACUCAGCAAACUGCAACUGAUCUUUCGCUCUACUGGAACCGCAGCUGAAUGUAUGGAUAUGUUCAAACACCCCUCUAGAGCUAUGUCACAGCACUUAACACCUGGCAGGAUUACGCUGAGCGCCUGCUCCAAGCCACCCAAUGACAACCAUGAUGAUAACAUCCUCACUGUUCAUAGCAGGGUAGGCAGAAUACCCAUGGGAGGCAGUCCAACAGUUACAGUAGUAGCUCUUCCUUCCAGAAGCUCCAGGCCUCAUAGAUAUCAACUCAAGACUUGUAAUACACUUAUGAGGCAAACCAACAACCUCCAAAAAUUGAGAGAAAAUCACAAAGAGAGGUUACAUAAAUUCUCUAGCACUGCAAAGUAAAUUCAGGUACAGUUUUCCACCCAUGAAGUUUUCUUUUAAAUGCAACAUUCUCAUUCUUCUCGGUACAAUAGGGUUACCCAUUAAUAAACUGCAAGGAUCUUUGUUAAAAGGUGAGUGUACAAACUCAGAUGCUAAAUCUUGGAGCAGCUCUUCUCAGCUACAGAUGGCACCAACAGAACAGUUUGGUAGGGCUGUGUUGCAAAAGCAGCCCAGCAAACUGGUUUGGAAUUGUAGCUUGUUUUUAGGGAGGGUUUUUUG